ensembl:miRNA
AUCACCUGGGGAUCUUGUUAAAAUGUAGAUUCUGAUUCAGUAGGUCUGUGGUGAAGCCCGAGAUUCUGCAUUUCUAACAAGCUUUCACAUGAUGCUAGU